rnacentral:rRNA from 1 species
UACGGAGGGUGCGAGCGUUGUUCGGAAUCACUGGGCGUAAAGCGCGUGUAGGCGGCUUCUUAAGUCCGAUGUGAAAGCCCGGGGCUCACCCCCGGAAGUGCAUUGGAUACUGGGAAGCUGGAGUACCGGAGAGGAGGGUGGAAUUCCUGGUGUAGCGGUGAAAUGCGUAGAUAUCGGGAGGAACACCUGUGGCGAAGGCGGCCCCCUGGUUGGAUACUGACGCUGAGACGCGAAAGCGUGGGGAGCAAACAGG